AUCAACGCUGGCGGCGUGCCUCAGACAUGCAAGUCGAACGAUUAAAGACUUCCUUCGGGAGUGCAUAAAGUGGCGCACGGGUGAGUAAGCACGUAAGUAAUCUACCUUUGAGUGGGGAAUAACCCGGGGAAACCGAGCUAAUACCGCAUAAUGCAGCGCAUCGCAAGAUGACAGUGUAAAGGAGCAAUCCGCUUAAAGAGGAGCGUGCGGCAGAUUAGCUAGUUGGUAAGGUAAUGGCUCUACCAAGGCUACGAUCUGUAUCCGGUCUAAGAGGGACGGUCGGACACACUGACACUGAAUAACGGGUCAGACUCCUACGGGAGGCAGCAGUCGGGAAUUUUGGGCAAUGGGCGAAAGCCCUGACGCAGCAACGCCGCGUGAAGGAUGAAGUAUUUCGGUAUGUAAACCUUCGAAAGAAUAGGAAGAAUAAAUGACGGUACUAUUUAUAAGCUCCGGCUACUACGUGCCAGCAGCCGCGGUAAUACGUAGGGAUGCAAGCGUUGUUCGGAUUUACUGGGCGUAAAGGGCGCGUAGGCGGCGCGGUAAGUCACCUUGUGAAAUCUCUGAGCUUAACUCAGAACGGCCAAGUGAUACUGCAGUGCUAGAGUGCAGAAGGUGCAGUCGGAAUUCCUUGGUGUAGCGGUGAAAUGCGUAGAUAUCAGGAGGAACACCUGAGGCGAAGGCGGUUGCCUAGGACCGACACUGACGCUGAGUGCGCGAAAGCUAGGGGAGCAAACAGGAUUAGAUACCCCUGGUAGUCCUGGCCCUAAACGAUGAAUACUUGUGUCUGGGUAUUCCAUACUCCGGGUGCCGUCGCUAACGUUUUAAGUCAUUCCGCCUGGGGAGUACGGCUCGCAAGGCUGAAACAUCAAAGGAAUUGACGGGGGACCCGCACAAGCGGUGGAGCAUGUGGUUUCAAUUCGACGCAACGCGAAGAACCUUACCUGGACUAGAAGUGCAGUGGAAGGCCGUUAACAUCGAGUCCGUCCGGAAACCGGGAUCGCUAGCGAGGUGCUGCAUGGCUGUCGUCAGCUCGUGUCGUGAGAUGUUGGGUUAAGUCCCGCAACGAGCGCAACCCCUAUCAGUAGUUGCCAUCAGGUAAGCUUGGGAACUCUGUGAGACCUGCCGUUGAUAAACGGGGAGGAAGGUGGGGAUGACUGUCAAGCAUCAUGGCCUUUAUGUUCCAGGGCUACACACGUGCUACAAUGGUCCGGUACAAAACCGUCGCAAACCCGCGAGGGGGAGCUAAUCGCUAAAAGCCGGUCCUCAGUUCGGAUUGGAGUCUGCAACCUCGAACUCCAUGAAGCUUGGAAUCGCUAGUAAUCGCAGAUCAGCACUGCUGCGGUGAAUACGUUCCCGGUCUUGUACACACCGCCCGUCACAAUCACGAAAGUAGGUUGUACUAGAAGUAGUUCUGGGCAACUCGCAAGGGAGACAGGUUACGCCACGGUAUGACUUAUGAUUGGGGAA
rnacentral:rRNA from 1 species